rnacentral:rRNA from 1 species
CAGCCGCCGCGGUAAAACAGAGGGUGCGAGCGUUAAUCGGAUUUACUGGGCGUAAAGCGUGCGUAGGCGGCUUCUUAAGUCGGAUGUGAAAUCCCUGAGCUUAACUUAGGAAUUGCAUUCGAUACUGGGAAGCUAGAGUAUGGGAGAGGAUGGUAGAAUUCCAGGUGUAGCGGUGAAAUGCGUAGAGAUCUGGAGGAAUACCGAUGGCGAAGGCAGCCAUCUGGCCUAAUACUGACGCUGAGGUACGAAAGCAUGGGGAGCAAACAGGAUUAGAUACCCCCGUAGUCCCUGUCUCUUAUAU